rnacentral:lncRNA from 11 species
CGACUAUAAUUCCCAGAACCCCUUCUUGCAGUUUGUCUUAUUUUAAGAAGAUUGCUGGUAAAGAACUAUGUAGGUAUACAACGAUCCUGAUAUACAAUUAUAUUGUAUAAUUUAUCUGUCCAAGGAGGGCUGGUUAAACUUGUUUGAACUGGAUUGUGUAGCUCUAAACUGGCAUCCUCCUGCUCAGAGAAAUACCCCUGCAUUCAUCAAGAAGAAUCCAGUCAGAUAUAUCCAAGACCCCUUAUUGUCCCUAGUGUGCUUUUUCCCCACCUCAUCUACGACUGGGGAAAAAGCCUCUGCUUCAUUUUGUAACUGCAAAUUUUGUGUUUGUGAACUGUCCCCAGAGAAAUCCCCGAGGAGUUGAUCAAGGACAGUCUACUCAGUUGUAUCUAAGAACGUCUCAUCCUCCCCAAGGUUUUGUAUUCCUUCAUUAUCUCUUAUCAGUGAGAGAACUUGGAAUCGAUUGUGUAACUGCAGAGUAAAAGAAGAACAGAAUUAUGCCUGGGCCUCUUCCUCUUACUAAAUGUCACAUUCUUCUAAGCAUCAGCAUUAUGCACAUUUGCAGUGACCUCCC